AUUGAACGCUGGCGGCAGGCCUAACACAUGCAAGUCGAACGGUAACAGGAAGAAGCUUGCUUCUUUGCUGACGAGUGGCGGACGGGUGAGUAAUGUCUGGGAAACUGCUUGAUGGAGGGGGAUAACUACUGGAAACGGUAGCUAAUACCGCAUAACGUCGCAAGACCAAAGAGGGGGACCUUCGUGCCUCUUGCCAUCGGAUAUGCCCAGAUGGGAUUAGCGAGUAGGUGGGGUAACGUCUCACCUAGGCGACGAUCCCUAGCUGGUCUGAGAGGGUGACCGGCCACACUGGAACUGAGACACGGUCCAGACUCCUACGGGAGGCAGCAGUGGGGAAUAUUGCACAAUGGGCGCAAGCCUGAUGCAGCCAUGCCGCGUGUAUGAAGAAGGCCUUCGGGUUGUAAAGUACUUUCAGCGGGGAGGAAGGGAGUAAAGUUAAUACCUUUGCUCAUUGACGUUACCCGCAGAAGAAGCACCGGCUAACUCCGUG
rnacentral:rRNA from 1 species